rnacentral:piRNA from 1 species
CCAGCCCUAUUUCCACAUUUUCCAAAUGGGA